GUCUGUGCAUGAUUUUUGCAUGGUCUGUGUGCAUGCAUGGUUUUUGCAUGGUCUGUGCAUGGUUUUUUGCAUAGUCUGUGCGUAGUCUGUGCAUGAUUUUUGCAUCGUCUGUGCAUGAUUUUGGCAUGGUCUGUGUGCAUGCAUGGUCUGUGCAUGGUUUAUGCAUGGCUGUGCAUGAUUUUUGCAUGGUCUGUGCAUGAUUUUUGGAUGGUCUGUGCAUGAUUUUUGGAUGGUCUGUGUGCAUGCAUGGUCUGUGCAUGGUCUGUGCAUGGUAACUACAAAGCACUAAGUACAUCGCAUCGAUUUCAAAAUGAAAUAUAUGUAUGUCUUAGUCUUUGGAGUUUUGGUCCAUUGGAAAACUACGCUUAAAUUGCUGAGCCUUGAAAUUUGAAAUUUUACUUACUAUUUCGUGUGUGGCAAAAACACUUUGCAAAAAAAAUAAUUUUUAUUUGGAAAAAUUUAUUUCUUGUUUCGCUCCGACUCGAGAAUCCAAGCGUAGUUUUUUAAUAGGCCUUGCGAAGCGUUCGGUUUUGAUGCGAAAGUCGCCAGGAACGGCUAAGUUCGUGAAUACUUUGUCCAUAAACACGUCGUCACAUUUCUGCGCGGGAACAGGGCAUUCGUGAACUUGGUUGUGCGCUGCAUAUGCUAAUGUCUUCGCGCUUUAUUCAAUUAAUGAUAGUUAGUUCUCCACGAAUUCGUAUGGAUUCGUAUAUCGUCUUAAAGAUUGAUAAAUAAACGAAGUUUUCAGGCAAAUAUUCGCAAUUUGCAAAAAUUUGUUCUGGAGACUGACGCACACUAAAAAAAAAAGAAAAAAAGAAAAAAAGAAAAGAGGAAAAUGAAAAAUACGACGCUGCCUCGCAGAUUAGGCGUGCGCAUGGAACCUGGUUCACAAUUUGUGAAGCUUGUUUUGGCGUACCGCGCUUGGAAAAUGCGCGUGGAAGAAAAAAGCUUUGACCGCAAUAAAUGCAAUGCAAAGUUUUCAUCUUUACGCGCGUCUUUUUCGCGCUAGGGCGUUUUGUCCGUCUUGCCCUGACGGGUAUUAUAUUUCGAUAAUACCACAAGAACUUUUUUGUCUUGAAAGUGAGUAUGCAUUAUUUUUCCUAAUAUCCCUGCUAGCGGGAUUUUUGCCCUCCCCGUGAAUAAAAUCGGUGCUAGCAGGGAUAUACGUAUGUGCACUAACUUUUGCACCCCAUCUCUAGAUGGUCGCUUAAUCUCUGGUCGUGAGAUAGCAGAAGCUUUUUUCUUCAGGGCAUUCGGCAAAACUUAAGGUUGACGACGAUUUUGACGGAAGCAAUAUGGCGACGUUUGUGCAAAUAAUAGUAUAGUAUAUUGUAGUAUCCGGCAUUAAUUCCGGCUGACAAUGGGCUGUGUUUUUUGGGCUGACACAGAUUCCUUCGGCUGCAUUUCUUCCGGUAUAUCUUCUCCCAUAUAUCCUCUCCGGCAUUAAAAUUCGGCCAAAA